UACGGAGGAUGCAAGCGUUAUCCGGAAUCACUGGGCGUAAAGCGCACGUAGGCGGAUGUGUCAGUCAGGGGUGAAAUCCCGGAGCUCAACUUCGGAACUGCCCUUGAUACAGCACGUCUUGAGUCCGGAAGAGGUGGGUGGAAUUCCUAGUGUAGAGGUGAAAUUCGUAGAUAUUAGGAAGAACACCGGUGGCGAAGGCGGCCCACUGGUCCGGUACUGACGCUGAGGUGCGAAAGCGUGGGGAGCAAACAGG
rnacentral:rRNA from 1 species